CCCAAGCUGUUGCACCAGCAUGUCAUAGUUAUGGUGUUUGGUUUGAGAACACCAUGUGAUGUUUCUGUAAAACCCUAACAAUGAGCUGUAAAUGUUAAAGUGAAAGCCGCCUGACCUUUGAGCUGAGCUUCAUUGAGAUCACAUAAAGUCAUUCUGUUGUGCCAUCCUAUCACAUUUCUAUUCAUCGUCUGUGAAGGUGAUCGCCUUUCAAUCACUCAGCAGUGAUGGCAGCAGCCACAAAAGUCCUGUUCCUCACGUUCACUCUGCUGUGUCUGCUCCAUGCUGCAUGUUCCCUCAUUGGCCGGGGCAUGUUUCAGGAAACACAAAAGAUGGUGAUUCGACAAUCUUUUCAAGAGUUAAACAGAAUGAAAGAAGAAAGCCAGCAUAGAACUGCAACCCUCUCAAGACUAUUAGAUGUUGCAAAUUCAGCGACCAACAAGGACCAACUGGAAACACUCAUGGAAGACCUUGAAGAAGCAGCAAAAGAAGCAGACAGGAGGAAGGAAGAAGACAGACUAAGAGUUUCAGUUGCCCUUAAAAUGUUCAAUAGAAUGCAACCACAGAGCAAUUUUGCUCUGAAGAUGCUUGAGACACUGGGAGAUGAUUUACUGAUAGAACUGUCCUCCAUUUUAAAGCACUUAAUGAGUAAAUGCAAGACGGUGUUAGAGGAGAAGAAUGUUUUGUUUAAAUAGAGACAGAGGAUGUGGGAGAUGUGUGUUACGUCCAAAAUGGACUGUUUGUGUUGCAUGCAUUCCUUGAUUUACAAAAAUAAUAAAUAAAUUUCUUUUUUUCA
rnacentral:lncRNA from 1 species